UACGGAGGGGACUAGCGUUGUUCGGAUUCAUUGGGCGUAAAGGGUGCGUAGGCGGCGCGGUAAGUCGGGUGUGAAAUCUCGGAGCUUAACUCCGAAACUGCAUUCGAUACUGCCGUGCUUGAGGACUGGAGAGGAGACUGGAAUUUACGGUGUAGCGGUGAAAUGCGUAGAUAUCAGGAAGAACACCCGUGGCGAAGGCGGCUCUCUGGGACGGUACUGACGCUGAGACGCGAAAGCGUGGGGAGCGAACAGG
rnacentral:rRNA from 1 species